rnacentral:rRNA from 1 species
AUGGCUUUGGGAACUGACUUGUGCCCGAAUAGUUACUGGCAAUAUUUCUCUUGGUGCAACACCUUCCUCCUUGCUAGAGGAAAGUAUUAUACUGUGGGUCUUGCUGCUGUUUGUUGGGCGAUCUGGCUUGCUCUAAACCGAGCAAGUUUUGAGAAAAAACAGAUUAAUACUCCCUUUGAGAUUGUUUUCUCCAUGGUUUCCUUUUUGCUGUACUGGGCAGGUUUACAAUAGGAAGAAGGGCUCAAGGAGCUGCGAAGCGGGGCGGAGAUGGUCAGGUCGAGCACAAUGCGGCUGAUGAAGAUGUGCGAAGCGGCGAGGAGGCCAAUCGAGGGAGAAUGA